rnacentral:rRNA from 1 species
UACGUAGGGGGCUAGCGUUGUCCGGAUUCAUUGGGCGUAAAGCGCGCGUAGGCGGCUCGGAAAGUCGGUCGUGAAAUGCCGGGGCUCAACCCGGGGACUGCGUCCGAUACUUCCGGGCUGGAGGUAGGUAGGGGAGAUCGGAAUUCCUGGUGUAGCGGUGAAAUGCGCAGAUAUCAGGAGGAACACCGGUGGCGAAGGCGGAUCUCUGGGCCUUACCUGACGCUGAGGCGCGAAAGCUAGGGGAGCGAACAGG